CACUUUGUCUUUAUGGCAAAUGUGAGAUGCAGUGUAUGGAAUGUCAAAUUUCUAGUAUGAGAAAUUAACGAUUUAAGUCCUUCUUAAAUGAGGCCAUUUACCCAUAGAGGGUGCCAGGCCCGUAUAACGUUAAUGAUUACUAGAUGGCAUUUCCAAAGAGUCGUGUUGCUUGAUAGUGCAGCACUAAGUGGGUGGUAAACUCCAUCUAAAACUAAAUAUAACCAUGAGACCGAUAGUAAACAAGUACCGUGAGGGAAAGUUGAAAAGAACUCUGAAUAGAGAGUUAAAUAGUACGUGAAACUGCUUAGAGGUUAAGCCCGAUGAACCUGAAUAUCCAAUAUGGAAAAUUCAUCAUUAUGAUUUAAUUAUGUAUAAUAUUUAAAUAAUGGUGUGCAUUUUUUCUAUAAAGGACAUUGUAAUCUAUUAACAUAUAAAAUAUUUAUCAAAAGAUCAUUUGCAUCAGUUUAUUCAAAUUAUUUUGCUUGCAAUUUAACAUAGAAUAAAUGCUUUUGAUUUGAUAAAGUGUUGAUAGAUUUAUUAUAUAUAGUGCUUGAAUAUUUAUAUUCUAUAAUAUCAUAUUAAUUUACAAUUUUUAUGUUUAUUGUAUGCACUUUUAUGAUUUACAAUGCGAAAGAUUCAGGAUACCUUCGGGACCCGUCUUGAAACACGGACCAAGGAGUCUAACAUAUUUGCAAGUUAUUGGGAAUAAAAACCUAAUAGCGAAAUUAACAUAACUAAUAAUGGGAUUAGUUUUUAGCACUAUUUAUAGUCUAUUAAUUCAAUCCCGGGGCGUUCUAUACAGUUAUGUAUAAUAAUAUUUAUAUUAUUUAUACCUCUAACUAGAGCGUACCUUGAGCAUAUAUGCUGUGACCCGAAAGAUGGUGAACUAUACUUGAUCAGGUUGAAGUCAGGGGAAACCCUGAUGGAAGACCGAAACAGUUCUGACGUGCAAAUCGAUUGUCAGAAUUGCA
rnacentral:rRNA from 1 species